rnacentral:rRNA from 1 species
ACGGGUGAGUAACGCGUGAGCAACCUGCCUUUCAGAGGGGGAGUAACGUUCUGAAAAGAACGCUAAUACCGCAUAACAUCAAUUUAUCGCAUGAUAGGUUGAUCAAAGGAGCAAUCCGCUGGAAGAUGGACUCGCGUCCGAUUAGCCAGUUGGCGGGGUAACGGCCCACCAAAGCGACGAUCGGUAGCCGGACUGAGAGGUUGAACGGCCACAUUGGGACUGAGACACGGCCCAGACUCCUACGGGAGGCAGCAUG